UCUAUAACAUAAAAUCAUACCGGAUACUAUGAACCCUGUUUAAAAUUCAAAGAACUUGGCGGUAUCUUAUACAGUCAGGGGAACCUGUCCCUUAAUUCGAUAAUCCACGAACGUCAUACCCGCCUUUGUAAAUUCAGCUUGUGUACUGCCGUCGAAUGUAUACCUCAAAGAGUAAGUGUACAAUAAUAAUACUACUGACGUCAGGUCAAAGUGCAGCUAAUAGGCGGGGGGAGAUGGGUUACAACUAUCAGUUAAAAGCCAAUAACUCUUAAAAAAGAGUAAAAAAGAUGGACUUGAAAGUAAUAAUUAUACCAAACAAUUAUGAAUAGGAUAUCUAAGAUAUGCACACAUCGCCCGUCGCUCUCGUCGAAAGAUG
rnacentral:rRNA from 1 species